UUCCGGUCGUAUCUCACAACCUCUCGAUUAGCAAAGUCAAUGAUUAGGAAUACAACUACCCGGACCCAGGGAUGCACCCCCACAUGGGACCCCAUGUCUGGCCUGAUCUCCAUGUGAGUUUCAGGCUACACCCCUGCCAAUCUCCAGCACGUCAAAUGCGAGUACGAAGCAUUCCUGAUCAUAGAAUUUACUAAUCUACUGGGCUUUACUGGUCCCAUACCCAGUAAGUGAUCAGAUGUUAUCACUUGAUCAAUGGUUAAGACACGAAUCGGUCCUUAACCAAAUUAAUCUAACAGACAGAACUACAUCUCUAGCUUCUGUCCCUUUCCAUAUUCCAAACUGUCCUUCAUAAGCAACAUGUAUGACUUAAGAGUUUUCCUUAAGGUUGGUAAACCAAUCAUGUAAGCAAGUAAGCAAUUCUAGACUUGGGUAGUUUCUAGGAUUUGAACAAGUGGCAAAGAUGUCCUUAAAUCAAGGCAUGAUCAUACACAAGAAUAGGUUUCAUUCAACUCCUAGACUUAGUGCAUACAAUAAACAAAUAACCUAUAACUAGUCACAUGAAAUAACGACUCCAAAAUAGAUAGGUAUAAAUGCACCGGGGCUUGCCUGGGAUCAACAAAGGUUAGUUCUUCGGAAAACUUCUUUAAUAAAAGAGGCACUCCACAUUUCGCGAAUGUUGUCCAUCUCCAGC
rnacentral:lncRNA from 1 species